rnacentral:lncRNA from 1 species
UCCUUUCUUUCUUUCUUGCUUGCUUCCCUUUUUUUUUUCUUUCUAGGUAAUAGAUGCUAGAUUAAAUAUACCAGAUAUAAAGCAGUUUAUUCUCACUCGAUAUUGGUUUUGCAAUUAUUAUUAUUAUUAUUAUUAUUAUUAUUAUUAUUAUUAUUAUUAUCAUUAUCAUUAUUAUUAUUAUUAUCUAUAUUAUCAUUAUUAUUAUUAUUAUUUUCUUUUUUUUUUCCUAAGAGACAACCAAGGAGUAAGAAUAUUGGUCUUAGAAGAAUUUAUGUGUACCAGAGUUAAUUAUUCUUCCUAAUUCAUAUAUAUAUAUAUAUAUAUAUAUAUAUAUAUAUAUAUAUAUACAUGCGAUCCUUGUGCAUGCGAGUGUGUGUGUAUGUGUGAGUGUAACAAUGAGAGAGACAGAGAUGUAUAAAGAUAUACAUACACAUAUAUAUUAUCAUUUAUGUAUUUGUUUUGCAAAAUUCUUAUACAUACAUGCAUAUAUAUAUACAUUCAUACAUAUAUACAUGCAUUCAUAUAUAUAUUUGACCCCCUUUCUUUUAAUAUAUAUACUCUGUAUUAAUCUAAGGAGGCAAAAAUGAGAAUAAAAGUAGUGUUCAUAAUGGGAGAUGAAAAUGGAUUGGCAUUCAGUUUGAACUUCUUAGAGGUUGUUCAUGUCAGGAAAAAAAUACAGGCAGGGAGUGUCUUGUGGGUAUCUAAUUCCAAGAAGGAAAGAUUGGAGGAAAUAUUUAAUAAAACACAGGAGAGACAUUGAAAAUAAGCAAUGUCGUUCCAUUCAGUUGGUUUAUGUAAAGCAGUAGCUCUCAGUCAAGAUCCAUGUAAGACUUUAAGGGAUCCUUACAAACAAAACAGUAAAUUGAGGGUCCAAAGUAGUACUGUAAAUCCUCGAGUAUAGUCCACCCUUGAGUAUAAUAUGCAGGGGAAUUUUAGGGUGCUGUACCUCUGAAAAACCUAAACCUUGUGUAUAAUAUGCACCCUUUCUCUAACAUGAGUCAAGGAGGUCUAUAUAAUGUCCUUGGUUUGUAAAAAUGUAUACGGUAACAUCCUUUAUUAUUAUUGUGUAUAUAACAAUGCAAACGUGUAGCACUUUUGUGCAUUUUGUUUGCAGGAAAUAAAGAAAUAACAGUAAUAACGUUUAAUAAAUGUUGCUUACUGCAAGUUAUGGAUGAUUCUUUUAUGACUUCAUUGCUUUCAGGCUUAGCUUAAGGUAUUUUCGUGCCCGACAUCACAAAAUGCGUCUGAAUAAACAUUGCUGGACAGCAAAUAGAGACUCUGACAUUGCUUGGAAAAUAAUUUUCAUUUUUAACCUCAUGUGUAAUACGCACUAGGGAUUUUGACCUGUAAAUUUUGGGAAAACAAUGCGGAUUAUACUCGAGGAUUUACGGUAUUUUAAAGGGCUGUAAAAAUUUUUUCUUAGACUGCAUUUAUUGCAAGAAACAGGUCAGUUUCUUUCUCUGAUGUUUUCAUAAUUCAAUCUACAGAAGUUAAUGUAUGAAAAACAAAACUGGAAUUUCAAAAGAAGUAUCUGUAAAGCUAGUUUUUAAACAUGGAAUAAAAUAGUAAUCAAAGGGGGUCUGUGUGAGCAAAAUAGUAAAUUGGGAAUCUACUAUGGUAUUUUAACCCUUUCGUUACUGUAUUAUUUUGAGAUGCUCUGUGUUUCUCUCAAUUAUUUCAAAUAUAACAAAGAAUUUAGUAAAAUAACUUAGUUAUCAUUGAGCUAGUGUUAGGAACAUUAAUUCUGACUAAUGUUUGGUGAAAGAUUUUAAUUCAAAAUUAAUGAAAACAAGACAUUUGUACUACAGAGCCAGAGGCGGUUUCAGCGGAGUUAGUAUCGAAAGGGUUAAGGGUCCAUGAAAAAAUGUUACGUUGAGUGUAUUUUUUUGCAAGGAAUAGCUAGGUUUCUUUUUCUAAUGUUUUACACAGUUCAACCUACACAAGUUAAUGUGUGGAUAAUGAUAUAGGAAUUUUGAAAGAAGUAUUUAUAAAGCUGGUAUUUUAAACAUUGAAUGACUAGCGGGGUUAGAAUUGAGGUCUACCACAAUAAUAGAGUAGUAAGCAAAAGGGUCCACAGGCAAAAGAUAGUUGAGAAACACUGAUGUAGAGGGCAGCACAGAGUUAGAAACUUAAGAAAAGCAGAGACCACUGUAGUAGUGGUAGAAUAGAAAUUGGUGGGCUGUGUAUCACUGCACCAGUGGCUGUAAACUAUUGCUGGGAGAAGGAUAUGUUAGGUAUUACUUAUCCUAGGUCGGUUCUGAUCAAACAGACUCUUACUGCUCGAAGGUGUUCUAUUCAUGGCUAUUCCUUCUUUUUUCUUUUCGUGCAUAGUCUAGUUGGGAAACUAGAACUACAUUAUUCUUCCCCGUCCUCUGCCUCUUUUUUUUUUUACAAAGUAACAGAGUAUGAUUGGAGGGAAAUUUGGCUGCUGUUUCUAGCAGAUCGAGCAACCAUGCAGUGUCUUUCUUGUUGGCUCAAAUGGCUGUAAUCAGCUCCCUGUUGGCUCAAGUGAGUGCCUACAGCCCCAUUGUGGGCUUCAGUUACUAAUAGUCUCUCUCCUCUCUCUCUCUCUCUCUCUCGCCCUCCCUCCCUCCCUCUCUCUCUCUCUACCUCUCUCUCUCUUGUUGACUCAUUGAAUGAAGCUUAUUUGUUUUGGAAAAUCAGAUAAUCUGGAUUCAGCCCAGACCAUUGGAAAAAAUGUUUUGCAGUAUACCUUCCAGUCUUUUACAUUAUGAGUUCAAAUCCUACUGAGAUCAACUUUGCUUUUGUCCCUCUCGGGAUCCCUUAGUUGCCAGCUCAUUGAAUAAUCGCUGUCUCUCCCAGGGAUUACAUUAUCUGAAUGCAGUCCAGACCAUCAGAAAAAAAUUGCAUUGUGAUAUUUCUUUCAAGCCCUUUAUGUUCUGAGUUCAAAUCCCGCUGAGGUGGAUUUUUGCCUUUCAUCCUUCUUGGAGCUGGGAGUGAGGUCUGUAAAAAUAAAGGACUCGUAAAAUACUGAAAUUGCUAUUUACUCACCCAACUCGUUUCAAAAUCCCUGGCCUUGCACCUAAAUCAAAAACCAUUAUUCAUAUAAAAAAAAGAGCAACUCACAGAAUAACAACAAGGCUAACAUGAUUAGAAAAGGUUUAUUUAAGCAUAAAAAACAAAGAUGGUUUAUUUCAUAAGGACAUCAAAGAGAGACCGAGAGAGAGAGAGAGAGAGAGAAGGGAAGAAAGAAGAAGUUGAGAUAUUCGGUCAGUUAUUUUUGUAUUUGUUUCAGCCAUUUGAUUGCAGCCAUGCUGGAGCACUGCAUUCGGUCAAACAAAUCAACCCCAGGACUUGUUCUUUGUAAGCCUAGUACUUAUUUUAUCCGUCUCUUUUGCCGAAAUGCUAAGGUACUGGGACAUAAACACACCAACAUCGGUUGUCAAGCGAUGGUGGGAGGACAGAAACAGACACACACACACACAUAUAUAUAUACAUAUAUAUAUAUAUAUGUGUAUGUAUGUAUAUAUGUAUAUAUAUAUAUAUAUAUAUAUAUAUAUAUAUAUAUAUAUAUUUGUGUAUGUAUAUAUAUAUAUAUAUGAUGGGCUUAUUUCAGUCUCCGUCUACCAAACCCACUUACAAGGCUAUAGUAGAAGACACUUACUCAAGGUGCCACACAGUGGGACUGAACCCGGAACCAUGUGGUUGGGAAGCAAGCUUCUUACCACACACCCACUCCUACACCUAUAAAGACAUUCAUGCUCCUAAAAAGCCACUCUGGUGCAUACAAAGCCACUCCUGUGCCUAUAAAUCCACUCCUCCUAUAAAUCCACACCUUCACCUAUAAAGCCACUCCUUCACCUAUAAAGCCACUCUUGUGCCUCAACAUUUUUUUGAAAAUAAUUACAAUUAGUAAUCAAAAAUGUUUUUGUUAGUGCACUAUAUAUAUAUAUAUAUAUAUAUAUAUAUAUAUAUAUAUAUAUAUAUAUACAUAUAUAUAUAUCAGGACUAUAUUUCUUGCACCAUAGUACUGAUGAAAAUGAUGACAGUGUUGAUGAUGACAAUGAUAACAAUAAUGAUGAUGAGGAUGAGAAGGGGGGGUGAUGAUGAAGGUGAAGGUGAUGAUGAUGCAGAGGACAAUUAUGAUGAUGACAAUGAUGUUAAUGAGGAAAGUGAUGAUGAGGAUAAUGGUUAUGGUGAUAAUGACGAGGGCAAUGGUAAUGAUGAUGAGUAGAGAUGAUGAUGAUGAGGAUGAUAAUAAUGAUGAAGGUGACAGUGAUGAUGAUGAUGAGGAUGGUGAUGAUGAUAAUAAUGAUGAGGGUAAUGGUCACGAUGAGGGAAGUGAUGAUGAUAAUGACAGCGAUAGUAAUGAGGGUAAUGAUGAUGAUGAUGAAGAGAGUGAUGAGGAUGAUAACGACAAUGAUGAUAAUUGGGAUGAUAGUGAUGAGGGUAAUAGUGAUGCUGCAACUGCUGCUGAUGAUGAUGAUAAUGAUGGUGAUGGUGAUGACAGGUAUGGGGGAGUGAGGAAUGAUAAUUUUGGUAAUUACUUGUAAUUAAGCGUGGCAUUAAAAUGUUCACAGAAGAGGGAUACUCUUCACUAAUGACCAGUCAUUUUAUUAGCUUUGAACAGAUGAAAGGUAAUGGCUGACCUUGGUGUGAAUGAUAAGAACCAACAGACAGGGCUGCAAGUAUUGCUGUGGGGUUUAAGAUUUUACUUCUCAACUACUUGGUUUUAAGUUCGAUCCCAUUGCAUGCCACCCUGGGUAAGUGUCUUCUACUUCAUCUCUGAGCUGAACUAUAAAAAAAAAAUUUUUUUAAUGCAAAGUAUUGCAGGUGUGGUUGUGUGGUAAGAAGCUUGCUUCCCAACCACCUGGUUCUGGGUUCAGUCCCACUGCGUGGCACCUUGAGCAAGUGCCUUCUACUAUAGCCUCAGGCCGACCAAGGCCUUGUGAGUGGAUUUGGUAGACAGACACUGAAAGAAGUCCAUCGUAUAUCAUCAUCAUCGUUUACCAUCCACUUUCCAUGCUAGCAUAGGUUGGACGAUUUGACUGAGGACUGGUGAACCAGAUGGCUGCACCAUGCCCCAUUCAGAGUUUCUGGCAGAGUUUCUACAGCUGGAUGCCCUUCCUAAUGCCAACCACUCCAAGAGUGUAGUGGGUGCUUUUACGUGCCACCGGCAUGAGGGCCAGUCAGGCGGUACUGGCGACAGCCACGCUCAAGUGGUGUUUUUUACAUGCCACCAGCACAGGAACCAGUCCAGCGGCACUGGCAACGACAUGUAUAUAUAUAUAUAUAUAUAUAUAUAUAUAUAUAUAUAUAUAUAUAUAUAUAUAGAAAAUUGGAGAAGGAAAAUUAAAAAGAGGCUUGGUUUGUUUUAUUUGUAUUACAAUUCGAAAAGUAAUGCAAAUUUAAAGAUGAAAAAUUAUACCUAUAAGAAUAUAAAAGGAACCACUUCAACCAACAAAAUAACCGAAAAAUAUCCUCCCCCCCAAAAAAGAUAUUCUACAUACAUAUAUAUUUUUCGAUAUAACAAUAUUUAAGAACCACCAAUAAUUAUAACUUUAAAAGAUGCAAUAAUCUGUAUAUUAUUAGAUCUCGUCAGGAAAAAUAAGUGUUUUAGUCUUGAGUUACGAAAUAAUUUAUUUGAUUUAUUUGAGGACAAUGUUUAGAUAUAUUAUCAAAUGUAAACAAACUUACUUUAAAAGACACAUAGUUCAUGUGCUUAGAAAUUUAUCGUUUAAAAUUUGGCUAAUAUUGACUGUUAAAAUGCUACCUAAACAUCAAUUCCAUUUGAAAAGAAAUCAACACUUACCUAUCACAUAUACUAUAUUAUACAUACAUACAUACAUACAUAUAUAUAUUUAAGUGUGUGUGUGUCUUUGUGUCUGUGUUUGUCCCCCCAUCAUCACUUGACAACCAAUGUUGAUGUGUUUAUCUCCCCAUAACUUUAACAGUUCAGCAAAAAAGACCGAUAGAAUAAAUACCUGGCUUACUAAGGACAAGUCCUGGGGUCAAUUUCUUUGGCUAAAACCCUUUAAGGCGAUGCUCCAGCAUGGCCACAGUGAAAUGACUGAAACGUGUAAAAGAAUAUGCAGAAAGAAAUAUUAUGGAAUGCCAUCGAGGGUUUGCUUCUCUUCUUGGGUGGUGGGAUUAAUCCAUCACAAGCUUUAAUACCGUCAUCUGGGUCUUGAGUAAGUCCACUCUUUGGCAAGCGUUCUAGGUAGAUCUUCCGCCUCCACAUAACUUCCUUCCUUCUUUCCUCUCUACCAGUCUCAAAGGCCUUGAGAAACAUUAUGAGUUGGCUGACACUAAACAGAAAAGAAAAAAAAAUAUCAAUAAAGCAUUCCUGACCGUCUUCCCUAAAAUUUCCUUUCUGAGGUAAAUGACAUUGUUGUCACAGAGGUGGUUAGAAUAAAGAUGAUAAACACAAAUACAGUCAUGUUAUUGGUAUAUUUUAUAUUUUAUUUAUGUUUUUUUAUGCCUUUGGGGGAGAUCAAAGACCAAAUUGUUCUUGCUGUGAUUUACUCUCAGAAAUAAGUGGUGUCAAAAUCAUAUCAAAUACAAAGUCAGUUCCUCCCUCUCAGCUUUAAAUAAUAUCAUAAUUAGACAUAAAGCCAUAGGCAAAACAGUUAGAUAUAUUUCCCCUAAUUAUUAUUAUUAUUAUUAUUAAGGUGGCGAGCUAGCAGAAUCGUAAGCACAAUGGUUGAAAUGCUUAGCAACAUUUUGUCCAUCUUUACAUUCUGAGUUCAAAUUCAGCCGGGGUUGACGUUGCCUUUCAUCCUUUCAAGGUCAAUAAAUUAAGUACCAGUGAAUCACUGAGGUCAAGGUAUUCAACUAGUCCCUUCCCUCAAAAUUUCAGGCCUUGUGCCUUUAGUAGAAAGGUUUAUUAUUAUUAUUGUUGUUGUUGUUAAGGCAGUGAGCUGGCAAAAUCAUUAAUAUGUUGGGUGAAAUACUUAGAAACAUUUUGUCUGUCUAUUUGUUCUGAGUUCAAAUUCAGCCGAGGUCGACUUUGCCUUUUAUCCUUUGGGGAAGGGGGUCGAUAAAAUAAGUAUGAGUUGAGUACUGGGGUCGGUGUAAUUGACUAUCCCCCUCUCCCAAAUUUCAGGCCUUGUACCUAUAAUGGAAAGGGUUAUUAUUAUAAUUAUUAUUAUUAGAGGGGACACAUGGCCUAGUGGUUAGGGUGUUGCACUCCCGAUCGCAAGAUUGUGGUUUCAAUUCCUAGACUGGGUAGUGCAUUGUAUUCUUGAACAAAACACAUCAUCUCACAUUGUUCAGGCAACCACUUUGACACCUGAUGUGUGGUACAUUGUGCACCUGCUCAGGCAACGUUGAUUUGAUGGACAGAGUGAGGUAAUAUACAGCACAUAUAUUUGAUCAUUAUAAACAAAUCAUUUGUGCAGGUUAGUUGGCAAAAGCUGAACACUCAUCUGUUGUCCUUGAUGGAGAGUCCAUCAUUAUUAUUGCUGAGACCCCCUUCGGUUACGACACAGACCAUGGGAUUGCACCUAGAAAGUUACCCUCCCAGGUACAAGUCCGGUC